rnacentral:rRNA from 1 species
GAUGAACGCUGGCGGCGUGCCUAACACAUGCAAGUCGAGCGAUUCUCUUCGGAGAAGAGCGGCGGACGGGUGAGUAACGCGUGGGUAACCUGCCCUGUACACACGGAUAACAUACCGAAAGGUAUGCUAAUACGGGAUAAUCUGCUUUAGUCGCAUGGCUGAAGUAUCAAAGCUCCGGCGGUACAGGAUGGACCCGCGUCUGAUUAGCUAGUUGGUAGGGUAACGGCUUACCAAGGCGACGAUCAGUAGCCGACCUGAGAGGGUGAUCGGCCACAUUGAAACUGAGACACGGUCCAAACUCCUACGGGAGGCAGCAGUGGGGAAUAUUGCACAAUGGGCGAAAGCCUGAUGCAGCAACGCCGCGUGAGCGAUGAAGGCCUUCGGGUCGUAAAGCUCUGUCCUCAAGGAAGAUAAUGACGGUACUUGAGGAGGAAGCCCCGGCUAACUACGUGCCAGCAGCCGCAGUAA